rnacentral:lncRNA from 1 species
AUUGCAACAUCUAGUGGCAGUGAGUUCCUUGGUAUGAUUAAUCACCUUCAGCCAAUGACUCUGGCUUUUUAUAUUUUGAGAGUCUGAAUAAUUGUUCCCCUAUUCACUGUGCGGGUUCACAAGGCAUAUAUCCAGUCACCAGAUUAAUUUUAGUUGCUCCAGCUUCACUGUGCAAUAUUCUUAAUGCAGGCGCACAAUGACCUAAUAAUCAUCCCUUGUAGUGUUAUACAGUUUGUUUCAUCAAUUUAUUUACUUGUUCUAAUCAAAGCAGAAUGCUGAAAAUGAUACAGGGUAAGUUGGAAAUGGACCAAAACUUUGUGUAAAUAUUUUUAAAGGUUUAUGUUUUGUUUUAAUAUUAUUUAAGAGAGCUUGUAUGCCACUUAAUUGUAACUAAAAUCUCUAAGUAGUUUACCAAAAAAGUUGUAACUUUAACUUUUAAAACCAAGCAGUCCGUGCUGUUGUUCAAAGUGAAUGAUAGUUUCUUUUCUGACUUCUUUUCCAUCUUCUUGGUCUUCCUUCUCUAACUCCCCUUCUAUAUAUUGCAGCAUAAAAAUGCUUCACCUGAGUAUUCUUAAUUAAAAAUUUGGCUUUAAUAUCAAUUCCGCGUGAUAUUAGCCUAGGGGGAUUUUAGCUCUGUUACUCAUCCCCUGAAAGGUUAGAACCUCUCGUUUUUAUGAGAUUGCAAUCAAUUUCUGAGCAGAUGAGUUCAAAUCUGACUUUUGCAGAGACUCGGGAUACAUUUGUGCACUGGAGAAUGUAUUUUUAUUUCCAUCUUCAUUACUAUUCAAAUCAAUUUAUUUUUAGUGGUACAUGGUAAGCUCAAUAAGAAUGUUAAAAGGCCAAAUAUUUUUGUACUAUUAUGCAGGUGCAGCUAAAGCUUUAUGUGGUGAGCUGAAAGCCUGAGUUUCUUCUCAUUAUAGUGUCAGAAAAUCUCCAGUGGAAGAGUGUGCUGAACAAGAUUGUCUCUAAGGUCUUGGUUGGCAACUCAUUUUUAACCUACUGGCUCACUCCCUUUAGAGACCAGAGAGAGGCAAAAGUUAACCAUUUUCUUCCCAGGCUGACCAGCAACAGUGGUCUUGGCAGUGAGUGAAUCACUUGCUGUGAGAUCCAAGCAAAGGAUGGCCUUUGAACAACUGAGCCUCUUAAGGGGGGGAGCCAGGAUGCAUCUCCAUACCAGUUGCUGGGAAUUGCAGGUGAGGGGGUACUAUUCUGCUCAGGUUCUGCUUGCAGGCAUCACAUGGCUACUGCGAGAACAGAGCGCUUUUUGGUCUGACGCAGAAGGCCUCCUCUUUUAUGUUGCACUUGUAAAUGGGAGAAAGAGACUGAUGCAGCUCUAGGGAGAGAUGGGGAGGCACAUGCAGAUAUAUAUGUGGGGGGCUGGCUGGAAGGACACCAUUUACCGACUUCUUGCUUAGACACACAAAGUGUAGAUCUGCUGAGUGUUUGUGCUUGUUCCUCAGUAAAGUAGACUUUUACGAUCCUAGCAGGGUUAAUCUGCAUGCAAAAACCUUUCCCUAGACACUGGAUAGCUCAGCUGAUUAGAGCAUGGUGCUGGUAACGCCAAGGCCACAGGUUUGAUCCCCAUAUCAGGCAGCUGCAUAUUCCUGCACUGGACAUUUUAAAGCAGAGGUUGGAUGGCCAUCUGUCACGGACACUUUGGUUGAGAUUCCUGCAUUGCAGAGGGGUUGGACUAGAUGAUCCUUAGGGCCCAACUCUACAAUUCAGCGAUUGAUUCAAUUAUCAGUAUCAUUGGGUAAAUUAGGUAAUGUUUUGCGUUUCAUUUCUUUCAAUACAGGGUGCCCUUGGGUAAAGUGCUUCCUGGAGAGCCACUUCAUCAGUGGAUCCCAGUGGGCAGCAGCAGCGUUCUCAGAGUUGCAUCAGGGGCAGUGUUGGAGAUUAAAAUGGUGGCUGCACCUAGCUGCCUAGCAUUGCACAGAGAGCAGGUCUAGAUAGCUUUCCAUAAAGAGGGAGCCUGGGCAGGCAUCAGUGGUCGACUCCAGCAGCUGCCCAAUGAUGCUAAAUGCUGAUCUCAGCCCUAUUUCAAAAGUCUGCUGGUAGUUAUUUAUUUAUU